UAAGGAAUAUUGCUCAAUGGGAGAAAUCCUGAAGCAGCAACGCCGCGUGGAGGAUGAAGGGUCUAUGACUUGUAAACUCCUGUAAAGAAGGAAAAAAUUCCCAUUUGAUGGGAGAUGAUGGUACUUCUGGAGUAAGCCCCGGCUAACUACGUGCCAGCAGCCGCGGUAAUACGUAGGGGGCAAGCGUUGUCCGGAUUUACUGGGUGUAAAGGGUGCUCAGGCGGAUUUGUAAGUCAGAGGUGAAAUCUUACAGCUUAACUGUUAAACUGCCUUUGAUACUGCAAGUCUAGAGUAUGUAAGAGAGUGAUGGAAUAUCUGGUGUAGCAGUGAAAUGCGUAGAUAUCAGAUAGAACACCAAUGGCGAAGGCAGUCACUUGGUCCAUUACUGACGCUAAAGCACGAAAGCGUGGGUAGCAA
rnacentral:rRNA from 1 species